CGAGCACAGAGCGGCUCCAGACACUGCGCUAGUUGCCUACAACCUGAUCUUCUUCUCAGGAUGGGGUAUCUGCUUCCACUGUGUUUGGCCGUCCUGCUCUUUAUGAGCGGAGUGGCAAAGACAUAUGGAAUGCCAAUGACAACGGACCCGGAAGGCAA